UGUACUGACAUGAGUUUCAACACUAUGGAGUUUUUCAGCCUUCAAACUAUAUUUUCCAGGUCAUAUUUUGGUGGAACAACAACUCAAAAUAGAUUCAGUUCCACUUUGGUCAUCACUCCAGAGCGUCUGUAUCACCUGUAGGGGUUGUAACUCCUACAGAAAAAGAACUACAGAACUGGACUGCUUUACGGCAUACGUCACG